GAUGAAUGCUGGCGGCGUGCCUAACACAUGCAAGUCGAGCGGUAACAGGAGUAGUUUACUACUUGCUGACGAGCGGCGGACGGCUGAGUAACGCGUGGGAACAUACCCCAAAGUGAGGGAUAACCGCCCGAAGGGUGGCUAAUACCGCAUAUGAUCUUCGGAUUAAAGGAUUUAUACGCUUUGGGAACGGCCUGCGUACGAUUAGAUAGUUGGUGAGGUAAUGGCUCACCAAGUCGACGAUCGUUAGCUGGUCUGAGAGGAUGACCAGCCAGACUGGAACUGAGACACGGUCCAGACUCCUACGGGAGGCAGCAGUGAGGAAUCUUCCACAAUGGGCGCAAGCCUGAUCCAGCAAUGCCGCGUGCAGGAUGAAGGCCUUCGGGUUGUAAACUGCUUUUGUACGGAACGAAACGGUGAGCUCUAAUACAGUUUGCUAAUGACGGUACCGUAAGAAUAAGCACCGGC
rnacentral:rRNA from 1 species